rnacentral:lncRNA from 1 species
CUCCGGCCCGGCCCGGCCCGGCUGCGUGUGCGUCCCGAGAAGCAGGCCAGCGCGGCGCGGCGGAACUCAGCUGCUAUUUAUGUCAGUUCCUGUCCCGAAAAUCUUACAGUCCAAGACCCCAAUCCUACAUAUAUUUAUAGCUGCCCUCAAAUUCACCUUUCUGAACCCAUUUAAGGAGAUUGGUGAGUACCUCAAUAUUUCUUCUAAUCCUUUUAACAAGUACUGGUCAUGGC